rnacentral:rRNA from 1 species
UACAGGGGGUGCAAACGUUGCUCGGAAUUAUUGGGCGUAAAGCGCACGUAGGCGGUUUGUUGUGUCGGAUGUGAAAGCCCUUGGCUCAACUGAGGAAGUGCAUCCGAAACUGGCAAGCUAGAGUAUGUAAGAGGGUCGCGGAAUUCCCGGUGUAGAGGUGAAAUUCGUAGAUAUCGGGAGGAACACCGGUGGCGAAGGCGGCGACCUGGGACAAUACUGACGCUGAGGUGCGAAAGCGUGGGGAGCAAACAGG